GCAUAUCAAUAAGCGGAGGAAAAGAAACCAACAGGGAUUGCCCUAGUAACGGCGAGUGAAGCGGCAAAAGCUCAGAUUUGAAAUCUGGCGUCAUUUUGACGUCCGAGUUGUAGUCUGCAGAGGUGUAUUCGAGUGUGGCUUUGGCUUAAGUUCCUUGGAACAGGACGUCAUAGAGGGUGAGAACCCCGUUAACGGCCUUUGUCCUAUGCUCAUGUGAAUCUCCUUCAACGAGUCGAGUUGUUUGGGAAUGCAGCUCUAAAUGGGUGGUAAAUUCCAUCUAAAGCUAAAUACUGGCAAGAGACCGAUAGCGCACAAGUAGAGUGAUCGAAAGAUGAAAAGAACUCUGAACAGAGAGUUAAAUAGUACGUGAAAUUGUUGAAAGGGAAGCACUUCCGACCAGACGCACUUGCAGCCGAUCAACCUUCAUUCUUGAGGGUGCACUCGGUUGUCUGUGGGUCAGCAUCAGUUAUGGUGGUAGGAAAAAGACCGAGGGAAUGUGACUCCUCUCGGGGAGUGUUAUAGCCCUUGGUGCAAUGCUGCUUACUGUGACUGAGGACCGCGCUUCGGCGAGGAUGUUGGCAUAAGGUCGUAAGUGACCCGUCUUGAAACACGGACCAAGGAGUCUAACAUCUAUGCGAGUGUUUGGGUAUUCAAACCCUUACGCGGAAUGAAAGUAAAUGGAGGUGGGAACCGCAAGGUGCACCAUCGACCGAUCCUGAUGUUUUCGGAUGGAUUUGAGUAGGAGCAUAGCUGUUGGGACCCGAAAGAUGGUGAACUAUGCCUGAAUAGGGUGAAGCCAGAGGAAACUCNUGGUGGAGGCUCGCAGCGGUUCUGACGUGCAAAUCGAUCGUCAAAUUUGGGUAUAGGGGC
rnacentral:rRNA from 1 species